GGUUGGACAAUGAUGAUGCCUUUUUUUGUAGACUAGAGUCUCUGAUCUCUCGCCAUUAUUAUGUCCGAGAGGUUGAUGACUAUCCCUUGGCUGUCUGAGUUUAACC